CAAGUGAGCAUGCAGGCAUGAGUAGCGAUAAUUGGGGUGAGAAUCCCCAACGCCGUAAACCCAAGGUUUCCUACGCGAUGCUCGUCAUCGUAGGGUUAGCCGGGUCCUAAGCAAAGUCCGAAAGGGGUAUGCGAUGGAAAAUUGGUUAAUAUUCCAAUGCCAACUAUAAUGUGCGAUGGAAGGACGCUUAGAGUUAGAGGAGCCAGCGGAUGGUAGUGCUGGUCGAAAGGUGCAGGUUGGAGUUCAGGCAAAUCCGAACUCCUUUAAGCCGAGGCCUUACAGGUGCGUGAAGUUCUUCGGAAUGAAUCGUAAAUCCUUGAUACUGUCGAGCCAAGAAAAGUUUCUAAGUUUAGUUAUAGUUGCCCGUACCGUAAACCGACACAGGUGGGUGGGAUGAGUAUUCUAAGGCGCGUGGAAGAACUCUCUUCAAGGAACUCUGCAAAAUAGCACCGUAUCUUCGGUAUAAGGUGUGCCUAACUUUGUGAAGGAUUUACUCCGUAAGCAUUGAAGGUUACAACAAAGAGUCCCUCCCGACUGUUUACCAAAAACACAGCACUCUGCUAACUCGUAAGAGGAUGUAUAGGGUGUGACGCCUGCCCGGUGCUCGAAGGUUAAUUGAUGACGUUAGCUCUGCGAAGCGUUUGAUCGAAGCCCGAGUAAACGGCGGCCGUAACUAUAACGGUCCUAAGGUAGCGAAAUUCCUUGUCGAUUAAAUAUCGACCUGCAUGAAUGGCGUAACGAGAUGGGAGCUGUCUCGAAGAGGGAUCCAGUGAAAUUGUAGUGGAGGUGAAAAUUCCUCCUACCCGCGGCAAGACGGAAAGACCCCGUGGACCUUUACUACAGCUUGACACUGCUAUUGGGAUAAAAAUGUGCAGGAUAGGCGGGAGGCUUUGAUCCAUAGACGCCAGUUUAUGGUGAGCCAUUGUUGAGAUACCGCUCUUUUUUAUUCUGAUAGCUAACUAGCUUGAGUUAUCCUCAAGUAGGACAAUGUCUGGUGGGUAGUUUGACUGGGGCGGUCGCCUCCCAAAAUGUAACGGAGGCUUACAAAGGUUGGCUCAGAACGGUUGGAAAUCGUUCGUAGAGUAUAAAGGCAUAAGCCAGCUUAACUGCGAGACAUACACGUCAAGCAGAGACGAAAGUCGGUCUUAGUGAUCCGGUGGUUCUGUGUGGAAGGGCCAUCGCUCAAAGGAUAAAAGGUACCCCGGGGAUAACAGGCUGAUCUCCCCCAAGAGCUCACAUCGACGGGGAGGUUUGGCACCUCGAUGUCGGCUCAUCGCAUCCUGGGGCU
rnacentral:rRNA from 1 species